UGUGGCGCGUGUGGCCGAAAGCGUGACCGUGCUCAAAGCGUGUGCGUCUCUGUCUACGUGCGCCCGCGCUUACCUGUCGGCCCUGUCACUCUCACAUCAUCAACUUAGCACACUCGACUUGCCAUGCGGAAGUCAUCCGCCACUGCCGUCUCGGCCCCUCUUUUGGCGACGAGCGUGAUCGUGGCAGAGUUCGACAUCGACACAGGCGCGUGCCUGCGCGCCUGCUAUCCCCCGGUACCAACGUCUCCGUCGACGGCCUUGCUCUCCUCCAUCGAGUCUGGCGCGCCACCCGGGAUUGCCGGGCACACAGAGUACUUCGCUAACGUCAUGCUUCCCGACGGGGCCGAGAAGGUCAAUGUGACGCGCACGGUCUUCGUCGUGAAUCGGCCGCAGCCCCCUUUGUACCUGCGCUUUCCCGUCUACCGCUUUGCACGUGCUUCGGCGAGUACCGGCAGCAGCGACACGCAGGCGGCCUGGGAACGCCGCCCUGGCGAGGAGACCGCGCGGUAUGUGCCUGAAAUUCUCCUUAUUAACGCCACGACGGAGGAGGUGUCGUUGCGAUACAAGGAUACGGAAAUCGAGGCUCCAUGCGCGGUCCCCAUGGAAAACAUAUCGUCUCUGCCGAACAUACCGGCCGACGUCGUGCGCUUCUCGAAGCAGCUAGAGGCGAUGCUGAAGAACGAGGCGACGCUGGACAGGAGUUACUCGGUAUCCUUUGCGUCUGGCGGCGACACAAAUACAAUGGAUGCUGGUGCGGCGGCGACAAGCGGCGCGGGUGGACGCGGUGUUGGCCUUGGCGGUGCCUCUACAGCAGUGGGCGGCGGUGGCGGGGGUAGCAGCAUUGGAGACUACACUUUUGUCCUUGUAGAUUACACAACGGCUGCAGUGGCACGCCAGGAGGGCUACCUAAUGAAGGUGUCGAACUUUGACCGCUUGCUGAAGACGAUGACGACUCUCCUACAGCGCAAAAAAACGGCCGCCGCAGCAGCCGCUUCGGGUGCGCCACGGGCCAAUAAUAGCGGCGACGCCUCUGCUGCGGCAGCCUCAGAGUCCAUCGUCACGCCACUGACGGAAGCCGGUUCGUUGAGCACCAUGAAUUCUACGAGGAAAGAGCAUCCGGGCAGUAGCGCUAACGAUACCUUCAAGACAACAGUCCACGAUAUCCGACUUCCUUUCAUGCCGGACAUGUACGGCGGCCGUCAUCCCGGCUUAAGCGGCGAAGGAAGCCCUGCUUCUCCGGAGCCGCGCUUAGCCGGUGGCGGCGGCGGCGCUGACACGCAGAGCACCACGAGCUCUAUGGAGCAGUCUGGCCACUUGAUGCUGCCAAGAACCGAUCCGACGAGCAGCGGCGACGACAGUGACGCAGACUCGGUCGCCGGGGGACAUCAUGUAGAUGCGUCGUCCACUGCCGCCGUCGCUGCGGCGGCCACGGAGAAGGGCGGUCAGGGUGCUUCGACUGAAGCAUCUCGACCGGUACUGUUUGGCCUGUGCGCUGUUGUUUCAAAGCGCGACAGCACCGCCCGCCGCGGCGGCAUCACCAAGAGCGUCGCCGUGCUCGGGCCAUCGCUGGUGUGGCUCGAGCCGUUCUUUCCUAUUCUCGUUGCUGCCGCUCAGUACUGCUGUGACGUCAACGGCACCGACAAGAGCGCGGUGCGGGAGCUGCAGCGCAUCCUGAAGCGUUGCUACGACUCGGUGACCAAUGCAGCGGGGAUGGUGGCUGCAGGGCGGGCCAAGGUGGACCAGCUCACGGCAGAGAUCAGCAAGUACUGCACCCUAAGUAGUGGGCAGCAGGCGUACGUUUACUAUAACGACGCCCCCUUCGGCAACACCAUCAAGGCCAAAAUCCCGCUCUCGCCGGAGUCGAACGACAUCGUGUUCACACGGUACAGCCUCGAGAGUCUCAUCGAGACCCUCGGCCCGUCGUCGCUACAUCUUCUUCUCGGCAUCCUCACGGAGAAGAAGAUCCUCAUCCUCUCUCGCAAAGGCGAGGCGGCCGACGUGUGCGAGGCUGCCCUCUCGCUCGGCAUCAUCGGCAACAUGCUGGACCGGGACUUCAUGGCGCGAAAGGUGUUCCCAUACGUCUCUGUGAGCAGCGUGAAUUACUUCAUGCAGGUUCCAGGCUACAUCGUUGGAACCCUCAACCCCAUCUUCGACAACGUCAACCCGUGGGGCUGGGAUCUGCUGUGCGACCUUGACAACAAAUCCGUCAUCACGGCGGCAGAGCGACUGCAGCGCAAGACGACGGGCCUGUCGUCAUCUGCCGGCGGCAACUGGUCAGCGGCGACAGCUGGCCUGGCGAACGCCGUUGGUGUCGGCGGUGGAAACGACGCCGAGGCACUGCGCAACUUUCCUGCCCCCCUGCAGCAGCUGUACAAACAGCUGCUGAACACCAUCUAUCACCUCCGCGCGCUGCGCAUCGGCGCCGUCGAGCGGAGCCACCGUCUUCGACUGAUGGUGGAGGACUUUGUCUACACCGUGGUCCUCGUCGGUUACGUCAACGGGGCCAGUGUGUCGGUGCCGAAUGCGCUCUAUUCAACCUUCGCUCACCGUUCCCUUUCGGCACUGCGGUCGGAGAUGAUGCUGACGUCCAUGAUGGACAACAUCCGCACUCACAUUUUGCACCGUGGUGAGAAUCCAGCCUUGCUACUACACUGCGUGGCUCUGCGACACUGCGCGUGGGGUGAAACCCCGGUGCAACGGACGCUACAAGCGUUGCUGGAUCUGCUUAACACCGCGUGCGACUUGAAGCUCUUUCUCCGACGCAUGCCACUGGCGGUUGGAGGGCUAAACGCAGUGGGCAUGCAGCUUACAAGCCCCUCGGCCGAGGCGCGAGCGGCGGCCGCGGCACUGCUGGCGCGCUUGGAGCUGGUGCCGGAGGGGAAGGCUGCAAUCGCCUCUAUGAACAACUUCUUCGUGAUGAUUUACGAGAGUGGCAUGACUGGGGCGGGCCGGUGACGUGUGUGCUUCUCUUUUCCUUCAAAUGUGGGGAGUUGGUGGAUGCUCACGCAUGCAUGUGUGCCAAGGGCGAAGCGGGAAAAGGAGAGCAAGAAGAGCACUCGUGUAGGUUUGUUGUUUGUUUUCCUUCUCCACUUGUCGUGCUUCAUCUGUGCUUCGAAGGGCUGAGGCGCGCUGAGCCACGUCUCCUGCUGGUUUAAAGUUUCUGCCGGGUCGUACUUUUUUUUGCUCUCAUGCCGGAGGAUCGAGACCUGCGCGAUGGUGCAUGCCUGGUGUGCUGAUGAUUCUUGCGGAGUACCUCUCUGAAUGGGAGGGGAAAGGGGGCAAAAAGGGAAGCGGGCGGGCGAGCGAGGGACUUCAAACAAACACACACACACACACUUACAGACAUAGACACAGAGGAGAGAGAAGAUUGUCUGCAUGUGCGUGCGCGUGUGUGCGAUCCGCAGCUGUGAAAACUUCCUCAUCCUCCUUCACCUUUGUUUUCCUUCACCUUUCCUUUUUUACCUUCCAGGUGUGCGCACGCUCUUUCUCGUUCUAUCGUCUUGCGUGUACGUUGACCGUGUUCGAAGCCUUUUUCUUCUUUUGUUCUGCCUUCCUCAGGGGGUGCGCCUCUCAGUGCGUGGUAUCGUCAGGGCCCGGUGCACCCCACACUCUGUGUGUGAGGAAGCCGGGCAGCCCCCCUCCCCCACCCCCAUCCCUGCCAACGCAGAGCUAUCUCUGGCGGCGACAGGGUCGAGUAUCUACGGCGUUGGUGAGGGGGAGGCCAGUGCGUAUGUGCCGCUGCUGAUGUGUCGGCGGUCAUGUCCUGGACGGCGUGACGUCGGAGUGGUCUGCGACAGUGAACACGUCUGUGCCAUCCACGUAAUGGGCAGAGUGCCCGCGUGACUCGAACGCAUCCCUCACUCGGCGCUCAUACGGCUUACUGGCGUGCGGAGUGCCUGAGUGUCGCAGCGAGGGGGAUGCACCGGGGGUGGCGACCGGCACAAUGGGAAGAGGAGCGGAUGUGUGGGUAGUGUGUGAGGCAGAGGACAUGCUCCGCUGGCUGAGCCGGCGCAUUGCUGCAACGCCCGUGACUACGGUUGCAUUGCACCAGGCGAUGGGGCUUGUGGCAAGGCGGGUGGGGGGUAGAGCAGGGUGGUGCUGGACGCAUGCUGUAUGGCAGAGAACGGACACAUCGAGAGCACGAAAGGUGUUUGCCGUUGGAGCCUCUCCUUGUGUUUCUUGUUUCACUUGAUUUGGAGGAGCUUCUUCUUCCUCUCUCUCCUUUCGCAGGCCUCGUUCUCACGCAGCUAUUCUAGCCUUUCACCUGUGCCACCGCCGCUUGCGCGGCCCCUUACCGAAGAAGUGAGUCGUUACGCGACAGGGACGGAGAAGGGGCGCGGGAAGAACUCGCUCAACACGCAUCUACAAACAUGCGUAUCGAUGGUUUCUCACGGGGACGAAG
rnacentral:misc_RNA from 1 species